rfam:Yersinia pestis CO92 complete genome
CUUUAACAAUCUGGAACAAGCUGAAAAUUGAAACAUUACAGCUGAAAUUUACCCCGCCGUAGAUGUAUUGGGGUAAAGAGUAACCUGUAAUAGAGUCUCUCAAAUAAUCGCAACACAAGAUGUACUGUCAGCAAUGAUAAGACACCUUCGG